rnacentral:rRNA from 1 species
AUUGAACGCUGGCGGCAUGCCUUACACAUGCAAGUCGAACGGCAGCAUGGAGAGCUUGCUCUCUGAUGGCGAGUGGCGAACGGGUGAGUAAUGCAUCGGAACGUACCGUGUAAUGGGGGAUAACGUAGCGAAAGUUACGCUAAUACCGCAUACGACCUGAGGGUGAAAGCAGGGGAUCGCAAGACCUUGCGUUAUACGAGCGGCCGAUGUCAGAUUAGCUAGUUGGUGAGGUAAAGGCUCACCAAGGCGACGAUCUGUAGCGGGUCUGAGAGGAUGAUCCGCCACACUGGGACUGAGACACGGCCCAGACUCCUACGGGAGGCAGCAGUGGGGAAUUUUGGACAAUGGGGGCAACCCUGAUCCAGCCAUGCCGCGUGAGUGAAGAAGGCCUUCGGGUUGUAAAGCUCUGUUGUUAAGGAAGAACGCCAGGUAGAGUAACUGCUACCUGUGUGACGGUACUUAACCAGAAAGCCAUGGCUAACUACGUGCCAGCAGCCGCGGUAA